rnacentral:rRNA from 1 species
CAGAAGGGAGCUUGCUCCCGGAUGUUAGCGGCGGACGGGUGAGUAACACGUGGGUAACCUGCCUGUAAGACUGGGAUAACUCCGGGAAACCGGAGCUAAUACCGGAUAGUUCCUUGAACCGCAUGGUUCAAGGAUGAAAGACGGUUUCGGCUGUCACUUACAGAUGGACCCGCGGCGCAUUAGCUAGUUGGUGAGGUAACGGCUCACCAAGGCGACGAUGCGUAGCCGACCUGAGAGGGUGAUCGGCCACACUGGGACUGAGACACGGCCCAGACUCCUACGGGAGGCAGCAGUAGGGAAUCUUCCGCAAUGGACGAAAGUCUGACGGAGCAACGCCGCGUGAGUGAUGAAGGUUUUCGGAUCGUAAAGCUCUGUUGUUAGGGAAGAACAAGUGCAAGAGUAACUGCUUGCACCUUGACGGUACCUAACCAGAAAGCCACGGCUAACUACGUGCCAGCAGCCGCGGUAAUACGUAGGUGGCAAGCGUUGUCCGGAAUUAUUGGGCGUAAAGGGCUCGCAGGCGGUUUCUUAAGUCUGAUGGGCUCAACCGGGGAGGGUCAUUGGAAACUGGGAAACUUGAGUGCAGAAGAGGAGAGUGGAAUUCCACGUGUAGCGGUGAAAUGCGUAGAGAUGUGGAGGAACACCAGUGGCGAAGGCGACUCUCUGGUCUGUAACUGACGCUGAGGAGCGAAAGCGUGGGGAGCGAACAGGAUUAGAUACCCUGGUAGUCCACGCCGUAAACGAUGAGUGCUAAGUGUUAGGGGGUUUCCGCCCCUUAGUGCUGCAGCUAACGCAUUAAGCACUCCGCCUGGGGAGUACGGUCGCAAGACUGAAACUCAAAGGAAUUGACGGGGGCCCGCACAAGCGGUGGAGCAUGUGGUUUAAUUCGAAGCAACGCGAAGAACCUUACCAGGUCUUGACAUCCUCUGACAACCCUAGAGAUAGGGCUUUCCCUUCGGGGACAGAGUGACAGGUGGUGCAUGGUUGUCGUCAGCUCGUGUCGUGAGAUGUUGGGUUAAGUCCCGCAACGAGCGCAACCCUUGAUCUUAGUUGCCAGCAUUCAGUUGGGCACUCUAAGGUGACUGCCGGUGACAAACCGGAGGAAGGUGGGGAUGACGUCAAAUCAUCAUGCCCCUUAUGACCUGGGCUACACACGUGCUACAAUGGACAGAACAAAGGGCUGCGAGAC